AGGUGCGGUCAGAAAUAGCAAUAAAGUCACAAACGUCCAGAAGUGGGACAAGGAGCACCAGUGGUGGAAAUUCAUCAAGUGGACUGGGGUUUUUGUGGAAACUGAGAAGAGGAAGAGAUGGGUACAACGUGUCAUCUGGUGCAUCCGCUGAAAAUCACUCUUUAUCCAACACUUGAUAAUCUGUGAAAUCAGCACUGGCCAAUCAGAAUGACUAUUAGCCAAGGAAAAGCUGGGUUUGACAUUUGGAAAAAUUAACAAUUUAUUAAUUCUUUCAUCCUCUGAAAAUUAUAUUUUGUUUUACAUGUUCUUACAACAACAGUAUAUAAAUGCAUACCAGCAAAAUAUACACUGCAUAAUAUUUGUUCAAUGCAUAGUACUGAAUGUAAUGUUUUUUUUAAGAUAUUUCAUGUGAAAGUCAAUAGCUUUUUGCACUUUGUAACACUUGUGUUUGUGUGUGUUUACACAGGCUGUGAUAAAAUACGAUGAGAGUUUUCAUUUACACUGUCUGUCUUGCCAUUUAAUAUUCAUUACACUAAUCUGAAGUAAGAAGAGACUACAAAAAAUAUACCGGUAGGCUUUUGUUUUAGUUGACUGUCCACAUCAAAUCAGUUUAACAGGGCAAGACUGCUGGACACAAAUCAGCAGUCAGAAUGUCAACUUGGCCUGGACAGUCCUCAAAAUAGUUCCAGAAGGUUAGCCUAUGAGCAGGAAUUCCCCUUUUUUAUUGAUAAGCAGCAUGUGCUGUUUGUGUUAGCACAGUUAUUGACAGAUAUCAGGUCAGAGGUGCACUUUAUUUAAGCUUCACACACAAUAUACUAAAUGCAUGUUCUGUUUGUUAUUUGACAAUUCUACAAUUCCAUUUAGCGGACGCUUUUAUCCAAGGGGACAUAAAUCUGAGAGUAGAAACAACAUGAGGUACCUCACUGGACAUCCCAGACAGGGGUGUUAGUCACUGAGUUAUCCAGAUGUUACCCAUUUGUUGCCAUAAUAUAUGUGAUAUAAAGUAUUUUCAUGUAGUUUUAACAUGCCUAAAUUUUAUCUGUAAUGAGUAGUGUAUAAUAAACCUUCAGUAUGUUUUCAAUACAUAAUUAUGUCUUGAAUUUGUUGAACAACAUAUGUAUGAGUUCUUUAAAUUAUGUAUUUGUGUUGAGUGAUUAUGCACUAGAAAUUACA